rnacentral:rRNA from 1 species
UACGGAGGGGGCUAGCGUUGUUCGGAAUUACUGGGCGUAAAGCGCACGUAGGCGGCUUUGUAAGUUAGAGGUGAAAGCCCGGGGCUCAACCCCGGAAUUGCCUUUAAGACUGCAUCGCUAGAAUUGUGGAGAGGUGAGUGGAAUUCCGAGUGUAGAGGUGAAAUUCGUAGAUAUUCGGGAGAACACCAGUGGCGAAGGCGACUCACUGGACACAUAUUGACGCUGAGGUGCGAAAGCGUGGGGAGCAAACAGG